rnacentral:rRNA from 1 species
UGGCUGAUUAGCUAGUUGGUGGGGUAAAGGCCUACCAAGGCGACGAUCAGUAGCUGGUCUGAGAGGACGACCAGCCACACUGGGACUGAGACACGGCCCAGACUCCUACGGGAGGCAGCAGUGGGGAAUUUUGGACAAUGGGCGCAAGCCUGAUCCAGCAAUGCCGCGUGUGUGAAGAAGGCCUUCGGGUUGUAAAGCACUUUUGUCCGGAAAGAAAUCAUUCUGGCUAAUACCCGGAGUGGAUGACGGUACCGGAAGAAUAAGCACCGGCUAACUACGUGCCAGCAGCCGCGGUAAUACGUAGGGUGCGAGCGUUAAUCGGAAUUACUGGGCGUAAAGCGUGCGCAGGCGGUUUGCUAAGACCGAUGUGAAAUCCCCGGGCUCAACCUGGGAACUGCAUUGGUGACUGGCAGGCUAGAGUAUGGCAGAGGGGGG